rnacentral:rRNA from 1 species
UACGGAGGGUGCAAGCGUUAUCCGGAUUCACUGGGUUUAAAGGGUGCGUAGGUGGAUUUGUAAGUCAGUGGUGAAAGCCUCGAGCUCAACUUGAGAAUUGCCAUUGAUACUGCUUGUCUUGAAUACGGUUGAGGUGAGUAGAAUAUGUCAUGUAGUGGUGAAAUACUUAGAUAUGACAUAGAAUACCGAUUGCGAAGGCAGCUCACUAAGCCGUAAUUGACGCUGAGGCACGAAAGCGUGGGGAUCAAACAGG